UUCCGGUUGAUCCUGCCGGAGGUUACUGCUAUCGGUGUUCGCCUAAGCCAUGCGAGUCAUAUGUAGCAAUACAUGGCGUACUGCUCAGUAACACGUGGAUAACCUGCCCUUGGGACCGGCAUAACCCCGGGAAACUGGGGAUAAUUCCGGAUAACGCAUAUGUGCUGGAAUGCUUUAUGCGUAAAAUGGAUUCGUCUGCCCAAGGAUGGGUCUGCGGCCUAUCAGGUAGUAGUGGGUGUAAUGUGCCUACUAGCCAGCGACGGGUACGGGUUGUGAGAGCAAGAGCCCGGAGAUGGAUUCUGAGACAUGAAUCCAGGCCCUACGGGGCGCAGCAGGCGCGAAAACUUUACAAUGCGGGAAACCGUGAUAAGGGGACACCGAGUGCCAGCAUCAUAUGCUGGCUGUCCAGGUGUGUAAAAUACACCUGUUAGCAAGGGCCGGGCAAGACCGGUGCCAGCCGCCGCGGUAACACCGGCGGCCCGAGUGGUGAUCGUGAUUAUUGGGUCUAAAGGGUCCGUAGCCGGUUUGGUCAGUCCUCCGGGAAAUCUGAUAGCUCAACUAUUAGGCUUUCGGGGGAUACUGCCAGACUUGGAACCGGGAGAGGUAAGAGGUAC
rnacentral:rRNA from 1 species